GAUGGGUAGGGGAGCGUCGUGUGCCGGGUGAAGCAGCCGUGGAAGCGAGUUGUGGACGGUUCACGAGUGAGAAUGCAGGCAUGAGUAGCGAUACACACGUGAGAAACGUGUGCGCCGAUUGACUAAGGGUUCCUGGGUCAAGCUGAUCUGCCCAGGGUAAGUCGGGACCUAAGGCGAGGCCGACAGGCGUAGUCGAUGGACAACCGGUUGAUAUUCCGGUACCCGCUUUGAAGCGCCAGCGCUGAACCCAGCGAUGCUAAGCCCGUGAAACCGCCGUGUGCGUCUUCGGACAAGCGCGGAGUGGUGGAGCCGGUGGCCCAGACUGGUAGUAGGUGAGCGAUGGGGUGACGCAGGAAGGUAGUCCAGCCCGGGCGGUGGUUGUCCCGGGGUAAGGGUGUAGGACGUCACGUAGGCAAAUCCGCGUGACACAUAGUCUGAGACCUGAUGCCGAGCCGAUUGUGGUGAAGUGGAUGAUCCUAUGCUGUCGAGAAAAGCCUCUAGCGAGUUUCAUGGCGGCCCGUACCCUAAACCGACUCAGGUGGUCAGGUAGAGAAUACCGAGGCGUUCGGGUGAACUAUGGUUAAGGAACUCGGCAAAAUGCCCCCGUAACUUCGGGAGAAGGGGGGCCAUGUCUGGUGAUGAGUCUUGCACUC
rnacentral:rRNA from 1 species